rnacentral:pre_miRNA from 1 species
CUGGUCUGCUGCCAGGUGGAAGACUAGUGAUUUUGUUGUUGAAAUAUGAAAAUGAGCAACAAGUCACAGUCUCCCGUCUAGCACAGACUUC